GGAGAUAUGGUUCAGUUGGUAGAAUACUUGUCUCACAUGCACAAGGCCCUGGGUUCAAACCCCAGCACCACCA
rfam:Ictidomys tridecemlineatus contig047357, whole genome shotgun sequence.